ensembl:snRNA U6 U6 spliceosomal RNA
GUGCUCACUCCAGCAGUACAGAUACUAAAACUGGAAUGAUAUAGAGAUUACAAACAUGGCCCCUGUACAGGAUGGCGUGCAAAUUCAUGAAUAUUCCAUAUUUUU